GGACUACUCGGGUUUCUAAUCCUGUUUGCUCCCCACGCUUUCGCACCUCAGCGUCAGUACCGGGCCAGUGAGCCGCCUUCGCCACUGGUGUUCUUGCGAAUAUCUACGAAUUUCACCUCUACACUCGCAAUUCCACUCACCUCUCCCGGACUCAAGAUCCCCAGUAUCAAGGGCAGUUCCGAGGUUGAGCCUCGGGAUUUCACCCCUGACUUAAGGAUCCGCCUACGUGCGCUUUACGCCCAGUGAUUCCGAACAACGCUAGCCCCCUUCGUAUUACCGCGGCUGCUGGCAC
rnacentral:rRNA from 1 species